rnacentral:tRNA from 1 species
AGGGCUGUAGCCUAGUGUUUAGAGCGUCGGGCUCACGACUUGAAGGUCGGGGUUCGAUUCCCGAUCGCACUG